GUGGCGAACGGGUGAGUAACACGUGGGCAAUCUGCCCUUCACUCUGGGACAAGCCCUGGAAACGGGGUCUAAUACCGGAUAACACUCUGUCCCGCAUGGGACGGGGUUAAAAGCUCCGGCGGUGAAGGAUGAGCCCGCGGCCUAUCAGCUUGUUGGUGGGGUAAUGGCCUACCAAGGCGACGACGGGUAGCCGGCCUGAGAGGGCGACCGGCCACACUGGGACUGAGACACGGCCCAAACUCCUACGGGAGGCAGCAGUGGGGAAUAUUGCACAAUGGGCGAAAGCCUGAUGCACCGACGCCGCGUGAGGGAUGACGGCCUUCGGGUUGUAAACCUCUUUCAACAGGGAAGAAGCGAAAGUGACGGUACCUGCAGAAGAAGCGCCGGCUAACUACGUGCCAGCAGCCGCGGUAAUACGUAGGGCGCAAGCGUUGUCCGGAAUUAUUGGGCGUAAAGAGCUCGUAGGCGGCUUGUCACGUC
rnacentral:rRNA from 1 species